AAACCAUGAUGUGGGCACUCUCUGCGGUAGACAUUGAAUCGUUCCCAUGCAUCGCAAAACGGCUCAUCAGCUAGCUGCUUGAAGGUGGCGACCUUCUGUCUCAGAGC